rnacentral:rRNA from 1 species
AAGUCGUAACAAGGUUUCCGUAGGUGAACCUGCGGAAGGAUCAUUAUUGAUUGCGAAUCGUUGUCUUCAGUGCUGGCCAGCUCUGGCAAGUGCACGUUGGCGGCUUUUCAUCCAAUACCCCUGUGAACCUUUGGCCUCUUGCUAGCUUUGGCUGGCAGAGGAUUUUUACACCCACUCGAAUGUAAUGAAAUUAUUGUUGUGCGCAAGCACUACUGUACAACUUUCAACAACGGAUCUCUUGGCUCUCGCAUCGAUGAAGAACGCAGCGAAAUGCGAUAAGUAAUGUGAAUUGCAGAAUUCAGUGAAUCAUCGAAUCUUUGAACGCACCUUGCACCCUUUGGCAUUCCGAAGGGUAUGCUCGUUUGAGUGUCAUUGUACUCUCACACUUCUGAUCCUUUUGGAUUGGGAGCGGUGGACUUGGGUGUUUGCUGCUUUACUGCGGCUCACCUCAAAUGCAUUAGUGCAACUCUUGGUUGGACAUAGUACGGCGUGAUAAGUAUCUUCGCCGGCACCUCGCAAGAGGGUGGCUGAUCAGGAGCUCUGUGCUCUCCAACUGUCUUCAGACAACAACUGACAACUUGACCUCAAAUCGAGUAGGACCACCCGCUGAACUUAA